UUUCUUAAAGGUGCUGUCAUAGUAUUGCUUAUCAAUAUUUCAGAGGAAGUCAGGUGAAAGACCUGCACGGACCCGCCACUGUAAGGGAAAAAUGCCUUCUGCAAAACCACUGGAGAAAUCCGGGAAGGGCAGAAUGGUAGUUCUCGAGUCAGGAAACUCUGAUAUUGAAAAUCAAUU
rnacentral:ncRNA from 2 species